rnacentral:tRNA from 1 species
GCCGAAGUAGCUCAGCCGGUUAGAGCACGCGCUUCAUAAGCGCGGUGUCGCCAGUUCAAGUCUGGCCUUCGGCACCA